rnacentral:lncRNA from 1 species
AAAGUUCGGGUUAUGAGGAUUUUAUACAAGGGCAAACUAGGCCAUACUUAAUGGGAUGCUAUUCAUGGUACAAGCUGGCCACAAAUUGCUUGUGGCACUACACAAUAGGAUGUUUCUUUUUGCCGAGAAAUAACACUAGAGAAUAUGUUGCUUCAAACAGAACAACAAUACGAAGACCUCAUAACCAGCUUGUGAAAAAAAGAGAGAUUGUGACUAAUACCACUAAGGCCUUGUUUAGUUCGUGAUUUUUUUUGGUUUGGCUAUUGUAACACUUUCGUUUGUAUUUGACAAUUAUUGUCCAACCUCUAGACUCAAAAGAUUCGUCUAGCAAAUUAUAGGCAAAUUAUACAAUUAGUUAUUUUUUAUCUAUAUUUAAUGUUUCAUGCAUAUGUCUAAAAAUUUGAUGUGAUGGAGAAUCUUGAAAAUUUUUGUGAACUAAACAAGGCCUAAUGCUACGCACAUUGAAAUUUCAAGUAAUAGCUACAUCCUCAGUUACCUCUGCCUUAGGCCAAUUGAAACUUCAACUAAUAGCUACUCCCUCAGUUACCUCUGCCUAGGCCAACUUCACUAAUAUUGACCAGUUUUUUUAGAAAAAUAUUACCAUAAAAAAUUCGGAAAAUACAAUAUCAGUACAUAUUUUAUGAACAAAUUAAUUAUUACUAAUCUGAUGUUUUUGCAUUUUUUUAACUUAGGACAGUUAUUAAUAAAAUGAACCAUAUAAUUUGGGAAAGGAGGAAACAACAUAAACUUGGCAGGUUAACCGGCACAAAGGAAAAGAUGGGAGGAAAGUGGAAAGCGAGGACGUGCUGCCAUCACGUGACGUGUGAUGCGGUCCAACGCCAAUAUGGCAGUGGAUGCAGCGCCGGAGGCGGACAAUCGCCAGCAACAUCGGACGAACGCAAUUCGAACGGAGGUCCAGGUACUUUUCUUCUUUCCCCGCUGCUUCCUUCCUCGUCGUCCUCGCCUCCGUCGGGUCACCCUAUUAAUACCUGCCGUCCCUCCUCUCAUCCAGGCCCAAACCCACACCCAGGUCCUGCCCUCGGGGAGCCGAAUCCACACCAAAGGACGCGGGGGGACGCCGGACGCCCCGGAUUCUUGGGAUUCCAGGUAAAAUCCAGGGAACCGACCGCCUCUGCUCUGUCUUCUCACGGGGGAUCUUGCCUGCGGAUUUCUUUCUUUCUUGGCCUUUACUUGGAUGCCGUGUUCCAAUUACGGUGCGCUUGCCGGUAAUCGAAAGAUCUUGCUAGGAUCUCGAUCCUUGCCUCGGCUCGGGCUCCGUGGUUGGUUCUUGCUCUUUGUCUAUCCUCCCCGCAUAGCCUGAUUGCAUGCCAGCCCGGAUGCGCACAGGCUCAUCCCGACCUCUCGUCCAUGGGCAUGGGAUCCCAUUUUUGCUGCUAGUUUUUGUAGACAUUUUGGGAGCAUCGUGGCAUUGUUUUGUUUCACCGAGGAAAACUGUCGACAUUGCGAUCUGCGAUCUCUCUACUCCCAUUAUUCUUUCAUCCGAAAAAAUAUCUUUCGAACAAAGUAUGAUUAUAGAAAUCGUUGCGAAAAGAAUCAGUAGGUUCCGAUUUCUUUAUUCUCUCUAGGCAAGGCAGAUGCGCAGAGCUCCUGCCCGUUGCAAUCACACACACACCCAAAAAAAACGCUCUAGGCUACAUGCCCUUUGUCUACUUUGUCAUUUUUGCCCUUUUUUUUGUUACAAUGAUUAUUAGUAUUAAACACGGCAAUACAUAGUGCAAAUUUAGGAUAUCUAGAAUUAGGUGAGAACAAUUGCAAUUUUGACCAUCCUGCGACUUCUAAUUUCUUUCCACUUCUCAGUGGAUGGAAUAUAAGGAGUAAGGGGGAUUCAAUUCAACUAUAGUUACUCAUGAUAAUGCUUUUGCAGAUGGAACUACACAGAAUUUGCACUAAUGGUUCCUGCCACAUCUCAUGCGGGCCACUGACAGACUACUACAUCCCUGAUUACAUACUGAAACCGGACUCUGAACAAGUCACUGUUGAUAGUGUACCAUGUUGCCCUGUGGUAGUCUUCAUCAAUUCUAAAAGUGGUGGCCAGCUCGGAAGCAGUCUGAUCAAAACAUACCGUGAACUUCUCAAUGAAGCGCAGGUAAAUAGGCUAGCAGUUAGGCAAUGCUGUAACACUGAAAAUAUGCAUUCACAUGCACUAUACUAUGUAGUACUUCAAAUCAUUUUCUCAUUGUUGGAUCCACUCAAUUGUUUUUUCAAAGGUUUUUGAUCUCUUAGAAGAGGCUCCUGAUAAGGUUCUACACAGAUUAUACUGCAACUUUGAAAAGCUCAAGUCUAACGGUGACCUUGUUGCUACUCAAAUUCAGAAGAGCUUAAGGCUAAUUGUGAGAAACCUACUUUUGGAUUUGUAAUUCCAAAAUGAAUUUCUGGUUGGAUAUGUCCUUUUAUUUACCAAGGAUCUUUUAAAUAUAGGUUGCUGGUGGUGACGGCACGGCAAGUUGGUUGCUUGGAGUAGUUAGUGACCUGAAACUAUCACAUCCCCCUCCUGUUGCUACUGUGCCUCUUGGAACUGGAAACAACCUCCCUUUUGCAUUUGGAUGGGUAAGUUAACGCCUUUUUCUUAUUUUGAGCAUACUGAAUUCUUAGUUAUGAUUAAUAUUCUACCUCUCUGUGCAUUAUGUGUCUGGAACAUUUAUGUUUUUACGCAAAUGGAGAAAUGUAGUGUAGAGUUAAUUUUUUUUACAGUUAGACAAACAUAAUAAAGCCAUAAAAGUUAACCAAGUUUUACAAUUCUGAAAAGCAAUAAUGUAUUUUAAUCUGACUGCAGGGAAAGAAGAAUCCAGCUACUGACCAAGCAGCAGUGAAAUCAUUUCUGGGUCAAGUAAAAGGAGCAAGAGAAAUGAAUAUUGAUAGGUACCGUCUUGCUUACAAAGAACUAAAGAUAAUGUCUUGCUCAUGACACUGCAUGAGCUCGUUCAUCCAUCUCAUAUGAUGAACUGUUUUAUGCUUUUUUUCCAAUUAUUGUUCCACUUAUCUUAGCAACAUUAGAAGUUUAGAACAUGUCCUUAUGUGCAGCGUACGAAAGAAAACACUCAGUUUAACUUGUAGUUGUAUUUUUCUGUUUCAGUUGGCAUAUCAUCAUGAGGAUGCGAAUUCCACAGGAAGGCCCAUGCGAUCCUAUUGCUCCCUUAGAUCUUCCACAUUCAUUGCAUGCUUUCCACCGUGUAUCAGCUUGCGAUUCUCUCAAUUUGGUAAGAAAUAUCUUUGAGAUGCAACCUUUUUCUGUUACUUCUUUUACUUGUAAUGUAAAGGCAGACUUUGAUAGUUAUGCUAUUGUUUUAAGUGCCAUAUGUAAUAUAGAGCAGCAUCUUAUUGAUUUUAUUUUUUUCAGGAGGGCUACCACACAUUCCGUGGAGGAUUCUGGAAUUAUUUUAGCUUGGGUAAGAGUUAUCUGUAAUCUGUUCAAUUCUAUCACUUCGAAUCUUAAACCUUUUCAUCAAGAAUGUUUGAUUGUGUAUGGUAACCAUGAUAGUCAUAAUUUGAACAUACUGCAGGAAUGGAUGCACAAGUAUCCUAUGAAUUUCACUCUGAAAGAAAGAGAAAUCCAGAGAAGUUCAGACACCAACUAAGAAAUCAGGUAUAUUUUCUUUUUAUGUUUUUUCGAUUUUCACUAACUUGAUGGUCAUUAGGAUUUGCAAACCUCAUCAGCAUGGUUAGAAUAAUGCAUUUCUUUGAUGCAGGGUACAUAUGCUAAGCUUGGAUUUAAACAUUCCCUAAACCAUCUUUCUUCGAGGUACUUUGUCACUAAUGCAGCUAUAAUGCUUCUGAUCUUGAUCAUAUUAUACUUCAUUUUUCUAUAUCAGCAUGUUCAGUGUAGUAUCGAAUUAUGGUGACAUUAGUUCUGUCUGUAUGAGGAAUUCUUCACCAUCACUUUUAGAGUCUCUGUAUUCCUUGAUCUCUGAUAUAUAUGGCCUAUACAACUUCCACUUUCAGGAACAUUUCUCAACUUGCAAAGGUGAAGAUCAUGAAAAGACCUGGUAGCCAAUGGGAAGAGCUCACGAUUCCUCGCAGGUAAUAUUUUUGUUUUGCCCAGCCAUAUCCAAUGUACGAUUAAUUUUCAUUUUGUGCAUAUGAGAUCCCUGCUGCUUUAAAUCCAAUAUUCGACUUCCCAAGCUUUUUCCCAAACUGUUGUAAAAACUGACAAACAUUGUCCAUCUUGUUUCAGCAUUCAAUCAGUUAUCUGCCUCAACCUGCCAAGCUUCUCGGGAGGAUUGAAUCCCUGGGGAACACCUGGCACUAGGAAAGUACAAGACGUGAGUUUUCCUUCUUCAAACCUGUUACAGACUAGUAGCACUUGGCAUUGCUGUGUUGAUGACAGUACUAGUAGCACUUGGCAGAGAUUGAUAAGUUCUCAUUUCAUGGCAAUAUGCAGAGAGACCUGACUGCACCUUACGUUGAUGAUGGCCUUAUCGAGGUUGUCGGCUUCCGUGACGCCUGGCAUGGGCUCAUCUUGCUGGCUCCUAAUGGCCAUGGAACUCGUCUAGCACAGGUGAGCUACUCUUCUGUUUCAGCAGUUCGGCACACGCUCCACCUAGCUAGGAUACUGAAGAUUGCUGAGUGUUUUUUUUUUCUUUUUUGCUUUAAGGCCCAUCGAAUCCGUUUCGAGUUCCACAAGGGAGCAGCGGAGCACACGUUCAUGAGGAUCGACGGGGAGCCAUGGAAGCAACCUCUCCCCAAGGAGGACGACACGGUGGUCGUGGAGAUCUCCAACCUCCGUCAGGUGGCCAUGCUGGCCAUCGACCCGUGCAGGUCGAAGAGCGUGAACGAGCCGUCCUCCCCGUUGUGCCACAGCCACGAGGACGACGACAGCAACAGCCUGGAGGACGAGGACGAGUGGGAGGACGGGAGGAAGAAGUUCGGCGCGGCGGCCACCUUCAAGAUCCCUGACGAGGUCGACAUCGCUCAUCUUAGUUAGAAUUAGAAACCCGUCCGGCUGCUUCUGCGUUCGUGAUGAGUUUGUGCAUGCGGUUCCCGGGGGUUUAUUUUAGGAUCCAUUUCAGUGUCUUCACUGCUGCUCUUAGUGAUACCACUCCCUUUUUUUUUACGAGUUCAGAUUUCAGAAGCUAACCACCGCUGUUAGCGAAACUGCUCAUUUUGCUAUCUACAGCUAUAUUCUGUAAAUUCAAGUGUAACAGCCAUGUGUAGACCGGCUGCAUUGCACUGACUGAAAAUUUUCUGUGGGCUACGCCCAUUGUGAUCGCUCUAGCUCUUCUCCAUGGAAUCACAUUCACAUGUAUGUCUGUUUGUCUCCCUGAUUAUUGCCAGCUGAAUCUUACUCUUCGAACACGGGAUCAGUUGGAUACCUAGUUUGAAACGUUUCCACCAUGAAAACGACUUUUGGAACGGAAGAGAUCCACAGGCCACAGCAAAGGCCUAGCAUCAAUACCGUGUUUGAACAGAAUUCAGAAACAAAAUACCUUGUUAGACAGCAGCAAUUUUCAAUCACGUAAUCUGUCAGAGCCACGACAGGCAAAACGCGUCGCUGUCGACGUCACACGUUGAUGUGAGUGAGGACGAUGGACGAAGAUAAGAUCAGCGACGCGACAAAUGAUAGCUUCUGGACUUCUCUCUGCUCUGCGUCCGCAGCUGUUAGCCGCCGCUGUUUCAGAUAAUCCUCCCGGUUCCAAGCCAAACCACGUUCCCCGCGCGCCCACCAGAAAGCAGAGAGACAGGCAGAGGCGCGUCCUGCUUGGCUGCUUGCUUUCGCUGCAGUAUAAAAGGCCCCCGCGCGCCUCUCAGCACUCCACGUCAAUCCACAACUCAAAAGUCGCAAGGCGAGCAAUUUGCAAGGCGAUGAGCUUGAGGUACAUGAGCCGUGUGGGCGCGCGGGCGGCGCAGGCGGUGCGGGAGAGCACGGGGAGGUCGGUCAAGGACAAGGCGCAGUCGUCGGCGUCGGCGUCGAUGGCGAGGAGCGGCGGCGGCAGCAGGCCGGCGCCGGCCGCCGGGUCGUCGGUGGAGUCGGGAAGGGCGAGCGCCGCGGCGGUGGCCAGGAGGAAGGCGGAGGAGGAGAAGCGGCGCCGCGCCGAGCAGGCGCUGCGCACCGUCAUGUUCCUCUCCAUCUGGGGGCCCAACACCUAGUACUAGUAGGAGCAUCUUGUGUAGCGUGUGUUGUGUUGUGCGCGUUUGUUUUGUUUGAGGUUGGAAACAAGAUGUAAAUUUGUUACAAUGAUCUAAUAGAUGAAGACAUCCAUACGCUGAUUCUUGGAAACAAGGCCUUCGUGUUGGUCUGCACUCUGCAGUAGAUGUGUUAUCCAUGUGCGUGUGUACACCGUGCCGUGCUAGCGGUCCGUGUAUACUAUUUCAACUUCUGCAGUGCCAUUAUAUUUUGUAUUGGUGAUAUUUUUUUAAAACAACUUUUUUUUUCUUGACGUGUUGGGAUUUGGGAAGGCUAUGCGAAACAUUUCGAUGCACUGCGUCCCUGUUCUUGUGGAAAUCGCAGUAUGACGUGUAUCUCCCCGUUUCACAGAGUUUCAGUUCUCCUUCGUGACCGUCGUCAUCAGAGUUAGUAGCAGUCUAGCAGCAGGCAGGUAAGGGAGGUUUUCCACGACGGCGUUGAAGGCCAGCAUGAGCUACAAACAGGACUUGCGACAAGAAGCCAAGCGGAAGUGCGGAACCGCGCGAUGCGCCGGCUCCGAGAUCCCUCAUCGCUGACAGACGCUGUGGCAACCGGCAACGCUGUUUCUUGUGAUUGCACGCUCUGGUUCGUCAGUUCGUGGAGAACGGUCAUGCAGCAUCAUGCGCACAGGUCAUGCCCUCGACUUUCAGUUCAGCUAAAGCCAGGCACAGAUAGAUAGCACAGAGCUUGAGCAUCCUGCUCUUCCAAAAGUUCGUCGCUACUACGGCAACUCUUACACCCUGUCCGUGUAUACAGAUACAGUGAGCAAACACGCUAUCAUCCUACACACGUCUCCCUAACACAGACCGGUGACGAAACCGUACGUAGAGUAGAACAAUUAACAACGACGUACGUAGCCUAAUUGGGUCCCCAGCAGACGAGGUGCAUCACGUUGUCGUCCUUCUCCGCUCUCCUCCUCCUCCUCCUCCUCAGCGUCGUCUCCGCCGCGACCGCCUUCUCCGCGGACACGCCCCCACCAGCCUUUCCUCCCUGCGCCCGCUGAGCCGCCACCCCCGGCUUCGCCGCGCCAGGCAUCGGCGUCGGCCUGCUAGGCGGCUGCCUGGCCCUCGCGGCCACGGCCUGCGCCGCUCGCCACGCCACCCUGCUCGCGUACCUCAGGCUCAUCGAUGGGUGCAACUGCAAACACUGCUGUUCUGAACCAGUGAUUUUACCGCUGCUCAUAGAUAUAACACGGCACUAGACAGUUCACAGUUGCAUGAAUAUAUAUGCGAGCUGCGAGGUAUAGAGCACGGUAGUAUUCAGUUCCGAAACCGUCAGCCCGCGCAGCGCGGCUGUGUGCACACAGAACGACUGCCCGCUGUUUCGAUCGGUCCGUCGUAACACUAACACGACAUUCGUUUCCGGUGUGCGCAAAUAUGUGGGAGAGCAUUUCUGCAGGUUGGUGGACGACACAUCGCAGCGGCCGGAUUUUGAGUAUCCGGUGGCUGGCCUGCGCUGCGCGAUUAGCCGAGUGAGAACAAAACGAAGAAACUGCGGACGUGCGGUGGUGCCGGCACAAAAGCCUAACGGCUUUGAUGGAUGCGGCCCCGCGGGGAAGGAAGGAAUCUGGUGCCAGGGGAGAUGGAUGGGGCAUUGGGGACCGGACUGUCAGUCAGUUUCAGGGUUAGCACCAAAGUUGGCGCGAAAAAAUCAGUGUGAUGUGUGCUACAGUAUCUAGCAUUGCUUCUUUGUGCCGCGACAGGUUUCAAGCACACAGGGUCUAGCGAAUUAGGAGUGUGGCGGGUGGGGUGGAUGGGGACUUUUCAGUUAUCCAGUGAAAUCCCCGUCCAAUGAGCGACUGGGGCUGACUAGAUAUAAGAGGUGGAUUAGAACAAAGUGGUACCCUGUCACUGUAUGGGUCCACACUGCCACUACGUACCUCUUUUUUGGCAGGAUAUAGCCGGAAGAACCUUAAAAAAUGUGAUCAUGGAAACUUACGAAUAGGACAUAGAAGCUAGCAAAUUGGAACUAUUGAAAUCUCUGCUGGAAAGUUUCAGAGUUUGUCUAGACACAAAUUGUAGUUGUAAUUGUAACUAGGAUUUCAGUUCUCUAAAAUCGCAUUAGAACCUUCGCAUUCCAGAUUGUUGGGUUCAAUAAACGGUUAGAGGACUUCAAUUUUCAAAAUUGCAAACAGAUUGCUCCUGGUAGGCGGUGGCGUGGUGGUACCAGGCAGGGGCCAUAAGCACCAUCCAUGGAAGGAGGCGGCUCGGAGACAAGAGGAAGCGAAAAAAGAGAACGGGCAAGCGGCUUGAAUGCUUUGCAUUUGAGCAAGUCGAUUGGUUGGACCGGCACAAACUAGAGACGAGCCAUGGAGCCAACAAUGUAGUAUAGGACAACGACAUAAGCUUCAAAGAAAGUACUUUUGAGGGAUAAAAAAGUUUGUUAUAAAAGAACAACUUGUUUGAAGGGAAGGGGACUAUUAGAACCUUGAUAUGAUAAAUUCACAUGUACAUUACUCCAUUUUUAAUGGAAGUGAAUUAAAUAAAAUUAUUGGUUUUUAAGUAACAGAAUAAAAAGCAUUCCACCAUGUACGUCCAAGAAAAACACAGAGACACAGCCCAAAAAAACUGCCAUGAAAAAUACCAUUUAAAACCUAAAUCAUGGACAUUUGAUGAAACUAUGUAAAAUUAUAGCUCUUGCGCAUGGUGUACAUGGUGUUCAUCAACUUCCUGGCGUACACAUGCUCAUCCACAUGCAUGUUGGAUGAUUCAUCCGCCCACGCGAACUUGGCCUUGUCGUUUGUACAACAAACUAGAGCAGUAACGAAACGCUAGCGCCUAAUAGGCUAAUACUCUGGCUAGGCAAGGUUGACUGACAAGCAUAGCAACCCGAGAUGCUCGGGGUCAGAUCAGAUCAGAUUGUUGCCCGGCCAGCUUCGCCUGGGAGAGGACAGAGGCUUGCAUACACCAACACAAGUCCUCAGACUGCUCGAUCAUGAGCUAGGACUGUGCGUAGGUAUUAGUUGUUGGGACCCCAGUUGCUGAGGUACAUGACCGUCCGGAGCUCCUCCUCCUGCUGCUUGGCUUUCCUCCUCGCCGCCGCGGCCGACGCGGCGCAGCCCGAGGCGCUGCUGCCGGCGCCGCCUGCAGAGCCGCUGGCGCCUGCUGUUGCUGGCCUCCUGGCGCGCUGCUGCGCCGCCUGACGGAACGCGUAGUUCCAGCGGCACAGGCCGGCCUGGUCCUUGAGCGCCUCCACGGUGCCCACGCUCAUCGCCGCCGCCCACGACGUCGCCUUCGCCUUGCCGCUCCCGCUCGCCAUCUCUCUCCACCCGUAUGUAUGUAUGUAUGUAUUUAUGUAUGUUUGAUCGAUCGAUCGGUCGAGGAUGAUCAGCUCGAAUGCGCCCGCUCGGAUGCUGCUUGGUUCGGUGCUUGUGUAAUGUUCUUGUGUUAGCGUACGUCUUGCCGUCUUGGCGAGGCAGUGUCGUGCAGCAGCCGGUGGUCUUUAUAGCCGGGGCGGCGAGGGCGAGUUUGCCGGGGCUGGGGCUGGGACUGGGAUGGGAGUGCGCCGUCGCUGCUGCGUGCGGGGCACGUGGUUUUGGGGGCUCCGCCGCCCGCGCGUGGAAAACGGUGGGGGGGAGCUCCUGAAAACCGGGUGCAGAGCGCGAGCGGCUGAGGACGCGCCCGGACGCCGAGGUUUAACUGCCCCGCCUCUAUCUCUGCUGGAAAGUGGAGAAUGCGGCGCGCUGCGAGUGCUGUGCCUGUCAGUUUGCUGUCGUCUGUCGGUGUGCUAGCCACUUGCUCCGAUUGCGGCUUCAAGCCGCUUGGGCUUUUCUUUUUUUUCAAGCGGCCGUGUCCGGCACACCUCGAUCAGGCACGGCUAUAGACGUGGGGCGUGUGCCGCGGUUACGUCGCGCUCACGUGUACGAGAGCCGGGAGGGACUGUCGAGCAAUGAUGAUGAUGAGAUGCCGCGGAGCCUGGUACAGCACUCUGCAAUUCUGUGUGUCACUAAUCCUAAUCCUUUUAAUAACAGGAAAACGCAUCGAGACGUGACAGAAUUUACAGCUCGCUCAAGCCCAGGGCCAGCCAUGAAACUUCUUGCUUUCUUCUCUUGGUGAGACAAAUCGGGUUUUUUUUUUCCCGUGGAGCCCUGAUCCAAUAGCCUUAUUCUUUCUCACUCACUGAAUGUCUGUCUGAAUUGCGUAUCAUAUAUUCAUAUUCAUCAAUCCAACGAUUCUCUUCAUCUGCGCUUUAUUGAUCUCUGUCCAGUGUAUAAAUUUCGAUACGAAUCUCAUGGAAUCGGUUCCGAGGUCACCCGUGGAACUUCUUGCUUUCUCACGCACAGAAUCACACGAGUGAUGAAUGGUGAACUGCAGGUUUGCACCACAUGCUCUGCUCUGGGCCAAACUAUGGGAGAGGCGCGCAGACGGACAGAGCAAACCAGCGGGCUCGAGGACAUGGUUUCCACGCUGCGCGGUCCCUUUCGACGUUUGCUGAUGCAACACACAGACACCUGCACCUGCUCUCGCCUAUGACUGGCCGUUACAUGAGUCAUGCCUGUCAUGCAUCUCGUAGACCGAAAAACCAAAAAGUUUUCAACAUUUUCCGUCACAUCGAAUCUUGUAACACAUGUACGAAACAUUAAAUAUAGACGAAAAAAAAACUAAUUACAUAGUUUAGCUGUAAAUCACGAGACGAAUCUUUUGAUCCUAGUUAGUCCAUGAUUGGAUAAUAUUUCUCACAAACAAACGAAAAUGCUACAGUACCGAAAACUUUUCACUUUUCCAAACUAAACAAGGCCUCAUUAAGAAAAUACCGAAUUCGCUAGGGGUGUUGCUACUGUUUCUUUAAUAACUGAAACAAGUAUCUGACUCCAUCUUCGUUAAAGACAAAUCGGACCAACUUAUUACGAUCCAACACUUAAGGCAAACAAAGAAAUUUAUGACAAAAUAAACUCAAGACCAAAUCCUACAUAUCGAACGACAUCAGAAAGACGCAAAUAGAUCCAAUGCUAUUUAUGACAAGUUCUUAACAUAGACAAUGUGACUUAUAAUUUAUAUAUACAAAUUUGUUGGUGGCUAGAUCUUCAAUUGUACAGGACUCAUGAUUGCCGACUGAUUGGUAGUAGUAUCAGGUUUUUUUCUUCGGCUAUAGAGUCUGCUUGGUUGACUACUAAAACCUGUCAACUUUUCAUAUUUGACUUGCUAAAUCUUUGGCAAUAUUUUUGCUUAAUUUUUGGCUUGCCAUGGCAUGACAAAUUUUGGUAGUCAACCCUAUAAUCUGGAGUAUAUCAUCGAUGGUUCUUUUUUUUUUCAAUAGCAAGUGUUUUAUAAGGUUGAGUAGAAAGUUGAAACUGCCAAACUGAAGUAAGGUUGUUCCCUGAACUUAUUAAGCCGAAUAUGACAGUCAUUUAGCAGUAUUUUUCUUUUAUAAUAAAUCAAUAAAUAAUAUUUUCUACCAAACAAACACACGACCUAAGAUGUCUUAUAGGAGUACCAUUGGAGGUUAUGUUCAGUUGUCUUGGCUGAGGAACACAAUACACAUGCAGGUAUGCAUAGGCGUAUUGGUUUAGGGGUUUUAUUUGUCUUGCUACAUGGCCUCUGCUAAUAAACCAACAAAUCACCCAUCACCAUGAGACAUGGUGUAACAGUAAAUUUGGGUGUCAGCAAUGAAGACAUUUCAGAGUUUCAGGCCAAUAUAUCAACCUGAAAAACCUUGUUAUGAACACAAACGCAUUCUUUAUUUCCAUGCCACCACAGUAGCCUAGGGAUUCAGAGUCUCAGGCACUGAAAUCAAGCGGCAGAACUUUUCAUCAUCAUCAUCAUCAUCAUCAUCAUCGUUGCAGAAAGCCGAAACUAAACGGAUGCCUAGUUGGGGCCCCAGCAGCUGAGGUACAUGACGGUCCUCAUCCCCUCCUCGGCCUUGUCCGCCCGGCUCUUCUCCGCCGGCGCCAGCUUCUUCUUGGCCUGCGCGAAGCUGGGAGCGUUGGCCUUGGCGGCCCGGUGGACGGACCGCAGCGCGUAGUUCCAGCGACAGAGCCCCGCCUGGUCCUUGAGCGCCUCCACGGCGCCCACGCUCAUCGCCACCAUCCACGACGCCUUCGCUGCAGCCGCCAUCAGUCUCCUGGUCGUCUUCUCGAGCUCUCGGCGCCUGGCUUGUCGAGCUAGCUUGGUGAUUGAUUCUCGAUGCGAUCAGAGUUGUUGUGUUGUGUUGAGGUGCAGAGAAGAGGUGGUGGGUGUGGGGUUAAUAUACUACUCGCGGUGCCGGCGGUGGCCGGUUGGUGCGGCGGAAACAGGUGGCCGCGGACGUUGGUUUUCCAGCAUACCGGGGGCUCCCCGCCUCUCCGCUCUGGUUGGUAGUGGACUAGUGGUAGUGAAGGUCGAUCUCGUCCCAGCCCAGUGACGCCGGUCCCCAUCAUCCCGUCGCCUUGUUUAUUAUUUGCUGCGAAAGCGGCCUGUCUGCGGUGUGCGGUGGCCUGUAACAUUGCUCCUGGACCAUGGUGGCAAGGACGCGUGCCGCUGCGGCUGCAGAUAGGAGUGCCACGAAGCACUGCUGCAGAGCUGAUCACCUUCCGGAUCCCGAGGCACGCAGCACAUGAUCCAGCGCGUACGUGCAGCGGUGCCGGUGCAGGUGCAGACCACCUCACUCGGCAGUCGGCACUCGCACGGUCGCACCGGCCAGGAGUAGUCGUUAGCUACUGCCUCCGUGAACGUCUCCUGCCUUUCCGGUUCUGAUUCGCAGCUAUGCAUUGAGCUAGCUAGAGUGAGUAUGCUAAUAACAACCUCCUAAACUUACUGUCCAAUCAAAUGUUUAACGUAUGUAUGAAGAUAUAAAGUAUUAAAUAUAAACUAAUUAUAAAAUUAAGAGAUUUUUUACGGUGCUUGGAGCGUUAAAAUAUUUUGCCUCCCGUUAAAAUAUUUUGCAGCAGAUUCUACUUAAAAAUUCUUAUUAAGGGCAGAUUAGUGCUUUUUUCCUACGGGGCAGAUUCUCAACUCUGGAAGGGCUCUCUCCAUGAAGGCACGAACUGUCGAGAUCUGCGUCGCCGCCCGCCCUGCUGCCGAGAGUCCGUCGUGUCCCAGUGCGGCGGCUUGUCGCAUCCUAAGCCGUUGCCUCGCCGCCAAUCGAGUCGGCAUCACCGUCACCACCACGACGCGUCUCCAUUGCCGCCCGCCUCGCUGCCUGUCGACGAAAGCUGGUCGGCAGUCUACCUUGGGUAUACCCCACGGUAGUAGUUUAUCGGUAGACGGUGCGCAAACUACGAACUCGAUGGUGACGCAAGACACGGGCGAGCUUUUUAUCCAGGUUCGGCCGCCGAGUUGGCGUAAUACCUACGUCCUGCGUCUGGUUGUAUUGAUUUGUGUUGAGAGAAUAACUUGUCCUAGGGGGGUCCCUUGCCCCUCCUUAUAUAGUCCGGAGGGCAAGGUUACAUAUCUGGAAACUAAUCCUAGUCGGUUACAAUUGCCAUAGAUAGUUCGAUAUCAAUUCCUAUUCCAACCGACUAGAAUCCUGCUUGAUCUUUAUGGCUUGUUCCCUUGCGCGAAACUCCAAUCUGUCGGAUCAAGCUUUGAGCUUGUCUCGUAAUGGGCCAAGUCUCCUGGCCCAAGUCUAGCCGUAAGGGUAUAGGGGUUUAUACCCCCACAGCUAGUCCCCGAGCACCAUGUAUUGUGAAGUAACACGCCAUCUUGAGCUUCUUCGACUAAUGAAAUUUUGACAUCUUCAAUCAGCAUGAAAUUCACCCAGACAGUUGCGACGGUAUUUUGACCAAAUCUAAACAUAUUUGAUCAACAUUGACAUCGAAGAAGCCAAUUGUUCGAAGAAUGCAUGGUGCUCUUGAGAAAAAAUAUUUCCUUCCUCGUGAAGUGUGCCCACUUUACUUUUCUUAAAAGUAUAGUCUUUAAAAAAAAAGCAAGCAUAUUCACCGCAAGGUGAAGUGUGCCCACUUAGUCCCCGAACCUGGUAGUAGGUGACGUAGGCACGUGGUGCCAGGGUCUAAAAAGAAAAUCAUAGAAAUUCUAAAACUGAGAUGCAUCGCCAGAUGCAUCGUACCGAUGUAGUCCCCGAGCUUGCUGGAAGGCGAAGUAUGAGCCUUGUAGCAAGGUCUAAAAAAUUGAACUUACUAGUCCCCGAGCAUAUCAUGCUCGUCUGCAAUUGAAUAGACUAAUCGACCAGUCCCCGAGCAUAUAACGCUCGGUGGUCGGUACAGUCCCCGAAUUCUCAAAUUGGUGGGCUGGUCGACCAGUCCCCGAGCGUAUAGUGCUCGGUGGUCGGUGCAAUCCCCAAAUUCUCAAAUUGGUGAGCUGGUCGACCAGUUCCCGAGCGUAUAGUGCUCGGUGGUCGGCACAGUCCCCGAGCACGGCGUAGGGACCGGUGGACAAGUCCCCGAGCGUGGUUGGGAACGUAAAUGUGCUCGGUGGUCGGCACAGUCUUCGAGCACAGCAUAGAGACUAGUCGACAAGUCCCCGAGCGUGGUUGGGAACGUAAACGUGCUCGGUGGUCGGAGCAGUCCCCGGGCACAGCGUAGGGAAUAGUCGACGAGUCCCCGAGCGUAGCUUGUCGACUGGGCCAAACCCCUGAAAAAUAAAUAUAAAGAAUAGGUAGUACAUGAUGUAUAAAUAAACUUUAGAUAAAAAAUCAGUACUGAGAUAAGUUUUAGAUUUUUUAUUAUAAAAUUAGCACGAGUAGUUAAUUCAUCCUAGAGCUUGUACCAACUCUGGUCUAGCCAACAAUCAGCAUGAGGUGCGGAACCUAGGCAUGCGUAGGAUUGUCAGCCACGUCAGAGAGCUACUGCCGACCACCCGGAACGCAGAGGGCGGAUCUCGUGCACGUGUAGGGAGGAGUCGGAGACAGUACCGGCUCUGGAAAGCUCGUGUAGGAGAAAAAACUAGUCGGCUAAAAAAGUUGUUUUGAAGAAUAAUAAUAUUAAAAAUAUUAUGCGAAAAAUAAAUAAGAUAUUAGAAGUGUACUUAUCUUUGGAUGAAAGUCUGGUCGGUGACGACAAAAUUGUCUGGCCCUCGAGCUUUUGGACUUGUUAUCGUGACGGUGGUCGCGGUUGUCGUAGCGCCGUUCUUCGCGGCGAUUAUUAUUGCGACUCUUGGUCAGAGCAAACAGGUCAAACAAGUUGGUUGAUAGGCUGAGCAGGUCGGUGUCGUCGAUCUGCCUCCUUUUGUACCAGAGAAGCGGCGACGCGUUGUCGGCGUGGUCGGAGACGUUGCUGGUGUGGUCGAAACCGUAGCUAGCGUGGUUGGAGCCGCAGCCGAUGUCGGUGAAGAAGUGAUCGGCACAGAUCGGAUCUACGCCUCCUCUGCGGUCAUGGCGGUGAAGCUGUUGAAGCCGACGAUGAACGUGAAGCCGCCCGCCAUGACCGCAAAGUUGGGGAUGAUGGCCAUCUUGUUCGUCGGGAGAGCUGUACGCACACCCCUUACCUGGCGCGCCACUGUCGACGAAAGCUGGUCGGCAGUCUACCUUUGGGUAUACCCAUGGUAGUAGUUUAUCGGUAGACGGUGCGCAAACUACGAACUCGAUGGUGACGCAAGACACGGGCGAGCUUUUUAUCCAGGUUCGGCCGCCGAGUUGGCGUAAUACCUACGUCCUGCGUCUGGUUAUAUUGAUUUGUGUUGAGAGAAUAACUUGUCCUAGGGGGGUCCCUUGCCCCUCCUUAUAUAGUCCGGAGGGCAAGGUUACAGAUCUGGAAACUAAUCCUAGUCGGUUACAAUUGCCAUAGAUAGUUCGAUAUCAAUUCCUAUUCCAACCGACUAGAAUCCUGCUUGAUCUUCACGACUCUAAGCUGUCGGAUCAAGCUUUGAGCUUGUCUCGUAAUGGGCCAAGUCUCCUGGCCCAAAUCUAGCCGUAAGGGUAUAGGGGUUUAUACCCCCACAGUGCCUCAUCGACAAUCGUCUCGCCACCGCCCUCACCACCACCACCAGCAUCGCCGCCGCCCUCACCAUUAGCACGCGCCUCCUAGAGUCGCCACCGCCGGCCCGCCCGCCACCGCACGCAACUCCAAACCGGCGACGAAUAUCAGCUCUCCUCACCGCUGGCCGUUCUCCUAGGUGUCGCCAGCGACUGCCUGCGAGGGGUCAUCGUCUUCCUUUGACUGGUGUGUCCUGCACGGUCUGAGUACUCGUUGCUGCUCUGCCUAGCCAGUAAUCAGAACAUUGGCCCUUUUCUAUGCAUGACAUGGAGAAAUACAUUGAGAAUUAAUUGAAACACGGAAUCUGAUCAUAGGAACGAGAUUCAAAUGACCUUCAACAUAUCUACAGUACAGGUCCAUCAUAACAUGCUCAAGAUGAACAAAAGAGGACGUACCUGCAGGGCCUGGCCAUCGGAGACUGCACGCGCUAGGGAGCACCUGAGCCAGAGACCGUGCUCGAAGAGUGCGCCAGCCAGGGGACCAUCGCGCCGACAGCAUUACGAGAGGGAGAGCCGUCCCCCACGUACCUCGCCGCUGCCGCCAUCACCUCCUUGCAUCGCCGCACCACUGCCGCCGUCGUGUUGUGCGCUGCUGCACGUAUGCGGGCAGCAUGCUCCGUGCUACAUCCGCCCAAGAUGUAGCCAGAACUGGGGCCUUGCGGGCCCCGUGCAUCCUGCCCCGCCGCUUGUUGCCUCCUAUACAGCCCGCCGUCGCCGCCGCCUGUGGUUGGCUCGCCCUGGCACUUCGUGUGCCUUGCCGCGGCAACCUCGAGUGCGGGAGCCAUGGCCUUGACCACACGCAUGGCCUUAUCCGCCAUGAGAUCCCACCGGCUGGUCGGCGUGUCCUGUUUUUGUGAUUUGGGGACGGGCUGGCGAAGAUUUGGGGCACGGUCUGAGCAGCUUCUUAUUCUGAGGAGAAGUUCAUUUUUUUAAAUUAGAAGCAGCUUCUAAAAUGUUAGAAAUACAAUAAUAUCCUUUGAUUUUAAUUACAAACUAGUUCAGAGCCCACAAAAUUUUGGUCCCGGCCCACGACUUAAGUUCCUCUUAUUUGGUUCUUCCUAUUUUCAGACCAUUAGAUAUAAUGAAAUGAAGAGCUCUCGUUAUUUCCAAGCGUAGCAAAAUUUCUCAUGACGAUUUGUUAAACCUAAUUAGUUUAUAAUUUGAUAAUAUAGUGUUACAAUAAACAUAUAUUAAUGAUAAAUUAAUUAGAUUUAAUAAAUUUAUCUCCUGUAAUUUGUUUUAUUUUUUAAUAUCCGAACUGUUUUAUUUUACAUCUUAUAUGAUGUUCCACUUGACAUCUUCUAAACUUUAGUCCUUGCACACUAAAUUUUUCAAUUAAGGAGCCGCAAACCAGCUAGGCAAGUUUGAGCUACCCAUGUGCAGUCAUAUUAGCUUUUUUUUUACGAUUAACAAAACCGGACAGUACACAGUAGCGAACACAUUGUGAUCCGACAAGAAACUUCUUGCUUUCUUAGCGAGGGGAAAAGUAGUCGAGUAGUUAAUUAUUUUUUAACGUGCUAGAUCCUAUGGGGGCUUAAGCGCAGAUUGUUCCCAUGUGCUAAGUACUUAUGGAGUAUCGAUCUGUCAAACUGCUGCGGAGACUCUGCUCUGCUCUCGGCUCCGUCUUUCUAACACAAACACACUUUUUACCCCCAAAAACUUGAGAGGCCAUGAUUAGUUUUCUAGGGCUUUGUUAACUUAAAAAAAAUUACAAAAUAUGAAUAUUAGCAUUUUCGUUUGUAUUUGACAAAUAUUAUCCAAUUAUGUACUGACUAGGUUCAAAAUAUUCGUCUCGUCAAUUCCGAUUAAACUGUGCAAUUAGUUUUUAUUUUUAUCUAUAUUUAAUACACCAUACAUACGUCUAAAGAUUCGAUGUGACGGAGAAAUCUGAAAAAUUUUUAAAAUUUUUGGGAACUAAACAAGGCCCCAAGAGGAGUGGGGGAAUCGAACAAGGCCUGACUCGGGAAGUCCGGAAACUGAAUUCGGUACUACACCACCUGGCCCAUGCAUGUCAGUUAACAAGGGGCCUCUGUUGAACUUUGAACAUGAAACCGUGAUCCCAUCAGGCAUCAGCAUAUGAGAUAUCAGUGUAGUGUAAAUAACAUGGUGCUUUCAGGCUUCCGCUGUCAUGAAAUAGGACAGUCCAGGAUUUCAUAUUAUCAUGCUUGCCGGUCAUGACUAUAAAUAACAUGUCUUCGAACUCAAAGCUUCCAGAUUUCACGCCAGUGUACAGAAUCAGAAUGGUCACUCGAUCAUACACAGUAGAUUACACUCGAAUUAAGUGGCUGAACUUUUCAUCAUCAUCCAAUCGUCGUCAUACAUUUACAAUAAUCAGGGUGAGCCACACCGGCAAAGGUCACAAGCCCAGCUCGGUCGCUGAAGAAGAACAAGACGAACUCCAACUACGGCUAGUUACUUAGUUAGGUCCCCAGCAGCUGAGGUACAUGACGGUCCUCAUCCCCUCCUCCGCGGCCUUGUCCGCCCGUCUCGUCUCCGCCGUCGUCGCCGCCGGCGGGGCCAGCUUCUUGGCCUGCGCGGCGAGGCUGCUGCGCACGUUGGCCUUGGCGGUCCGGUGGACGGACCGCAGCG